rnacentral:rRNA from 1 species
UACGAAGGGGGCUAGCGUUGCUCGGAAUCACUGGGCGUAAAUGGUGCGUAGGCGGGUUUUUAAGUCAGGGGUGAAAUCCUGGAGCUCAACUCCAGAACUGCCUUUGAUACUGAAGAUCUCGAGUCCGGGAGAGGUGAGUGGAACUGCGAGUGUAGAGGUGAAAUUCGUAGAUAUUCGCAAGAACACCAGUGGCGAAGGCGGCUCACUGGCCCGGUACUGACGCUGAGGCACGAAAGCGUGGGGAGCAAACAGG